CCACUUUGCUUAGCCUUUCCUUCUAGGCCAGUUCCAUGGGAGAUGGGUUGCCUAGCCUUUCUUUGUUUAGAACUUGCGUCGACUAAUUCUCCAAGCAUGUUCCGGAACUGGGCAUGUGACGCACACAUGUUCGCCGAAUAUUGAGGUAAAAGAAAAGCCCGAGAUAGGUGGGCCAAGUGACCUGCAAAACUGGGAGACUAGCAUUACACCUCAGGUGAAAUUCUUUGUACACCGCGGGUGGUGUAGAACCACACGCACCGCUCGUAAUGAUUGGCUCACAUAUGAAGUCAAAUUUUUUUUUUUCGCACGCCGCGUCCGACUUUGUGUGUGAGCCAAUCACCGCAGACAAUGCGCUUGUUCUGCACCGCCUGUGGUGCACAAAGAAUUUCUCCACACCUUAGUAUUGACUCAACUGGACUUAGGA
rnacentral:lncRNA from 1 species